rnacentral:rRNA from 1 species
GGGGUGCUCGAGUGGCGAACGGGUGAGUAACACGUGAGUAACCUGCCCUUGACUUUGGGAUAACUUCAGGAAACUGGGGCUAAUACCGGAUAGGAGCUCCUGCUGCAUUGUGGGGGUUGGAAAGUUUCGGCGGUUGGGGAUGGACUCGCGGCUUAUCAGCUUGUUGGUGGGGUAGUGGCUUACCAAGGCUUUGACGGGUAGCCGGCCUGAGAGGGUGACCGGCCACAUUGGGACUGAGAUACGGCCCAG